rnacentral:rRNA from 1 species
UACGAGCCUCACAAACGUUAUUCGGAAUCACUGGGCUUAAAGCGUGCGUAGGCGGUGCGGAGAGUCGGUUGUGAAAUACCUCAGCUUAACUGAGGAACUGCACUCGAUACUUCCGUGCUAGAGUAAGACAGAGGUGAGUGGAACUGAGGGUGGAGCGGUGAAAUGCGUUGAUAUCCUCAGGAACACCGGUGGCGAAGGCGACUCACUGGGUCUUUACUGACGCUGAUGCACGAAAGCCAGGGUAGCAAACGGG